CAAUAGCGUAUAUUUAAGUUGUUGCAGUUAAAAAGCUCGUAGUUGGAUUUCGGUUAGGAGCGACCGGUCCGCCGUUUGGUGUGCACUGGUUGGUUUUAACUUCCUGUAGAGGACGUGCUCUGGGUUUAACGACCUGGACUCGGAGUCUACGUGGUUACUUUGAAAAAAUUAGAGUGUUCAAAGCGGGCUUACGCUUGAAUAUUUCAGCAUGGAAUAACACUAUAGGACUCCUGUCCUAUUUCGUUGGUCUCGGGACGGGAGUAAUGAUUAAGAGGAACAGUUGGGGGCAUUCGUAUUUCAUUGUCAGAGGUGAAAUUCUUGGAUUUAUGAAAGACGAACUUCUGCGAAAGCAUUUGCCAAGGAUGUUUUCAUUAA
rnacentral:rRNA from 1 species